ensembl:antisense
GCGACGAAUUCACAGCGAAAUAGGAAAAAAAUAAAAAUCAGAAGAAAAUGCUUGAGAAAAUAAGGAAAAAGAGAAAGCGAGAGAGACAUCCAAAGUAGGUCGAAUAAAUAAUCCUCUUCUUUUCCUCUUUCUUGCUUCUUCUGCUUCUUCUGCUAUAACACACAGAGCUAGUUAAAAAACCCUGGAGAUCGCCCAAAAAUGUUCUUUUUUUAGUAUUUUAAAUAAGUGCUCUUCAGCUGGGAACCAACACCCUCCCUCCAAAAAAAAUCAUAUNNNNNNNNNNNNNNNNAUAUAUAUAUACAUACAUAUAUAUAUAUAAUAACGAUAAGAAGAAUACUGAGGGGUGCCUCCUCCUCCUUUUUUUUUCAAGUUUAGUCUUCUCUCUUCUAGAGGAAAGGAGUGAAAGAGAAAAGGAGGGAGAGAAAGAGGAAGGGCGACAACUAGUAGAAUAUGUAAGGAAAAGAAAGGGGGAGAGAUAGGGCAAGAGGAGAGUGGGUGAGAGAGAGGAGAGGAGAGGAGAGGAGAGGAGAGGGACCAAAAAAUUGAAUGCGUUUAAACGGGAGGACACUCAGAGCAAUGUUUCCGAAAGGGGGAUCUGCGCGAAUGUCUGUAUAUAGUGAACUUUGACACUACUAUUGAAACUGACACGUUUCUAUGGAGAUCUCUGCCUUAUAUGGAGCUCGUGUCAAGGAGCCAAGAGAAGGGCUG